GGGCGGAUGUAGCCAAGUGGAUUAAGGCGGUGGAUUGUGAAUCCACCAUGCGCGA
rnacentral:tRNA from 3 species